AGAGUUUGAUCCUGGCUCAGAUUGAACGCUAGCGGGAUGCCUUACACAUGCAAGUCGAACGGCAGCGCGGGCUUCGGCCCGGCGGCGAGUGGCGAACGGGUGAGUAAUGCAUCGGAACGUACCCAGUAGUGGGGGAUAACCACGCGAAAGCGUGGCUAAUACCGCAUACGCCCUUAGGGGGAAAGGGGGGGGAUCCUUCGGGACCUCUCGCUAUUGGAGCGGCCGAUGUCGGAUUAGCUAGUUGGUGGGGUAAAGGCCUACCAAGGCGACGAUCCGUAGCUGGUUUGAGAGGACGACCAGCCACACUGGGACAUGAGACACGGCCCAGACUCCUACGGGAGGCGGCAGUGGGGAAUUUUGGACAAUGGGGGAAACCCUGAUCCAGCCAUCCCGCGUGUGCGAUGAAGGCCUUCGGGUUGUAAAGCACUUUUGGCAGGAAAGAAAUAGGCCUGGCUAAUACCUGGGUUGUAUGACGGUACCUGCAG
rnacentral:rRNA from 1 species